CUUCCCCUAGAGUCAGGCUCUUCUUAGUGCACAAACCAGUUGUACAGCUUGAAGUGUGCCGCUGCAGCUGUGCACUUGACUCAGAAUAAGUUAACUUCCACUCAUGAAUUAUUCCUGGAAUGGCCUCACUGAUAGGCAUUGACAGCACAGGUUCCACUGCUUCAUGUGCUGGGGAUUCCAGAUACAAAGGAUGCUUGAGAUGAGUCAGGACAAAUGACCUCAGAUCCGCAGGAGAGCAUUAUCUAUUGCACUGUGAUUUUAAGAACAGAACUUAAGAUGAACAGCUCAGCCAGAUGAUGCUAAGAUAGAUACUGGACCUCUCUGAAUCCUCAUUCACCAAUGAAAAAGGAAGUGAUAAUCCCACUUUAUAUGGUCAUUUAAAAAGACAAUAAAUCGAUAAUAUUUA